rnacentral:rRNA from 1 species
UCAGAUUGUAGGCUGCAACUCGCCUAUAUGAAGUUGGAAUUGCUAGUAGUCGCGGAUCAGCAUGCCGCGGUGAAUACGUUCCCGGGCCUUGUACACACCGCCCGUCACACCAUGAGAGCCGGUAAUACCCGAAGUCAGUAUCCUAACCGCAAGGGGGGAGCUGCCGAAGGUAGGAUUGGCGAUUGGGGUGAAGUCGUAACAAGGUAUC